rnacentral:rRNA from 1 species
CGUACACUCCUGCGGGAGGCAGCAGUGGGGAAUAUUGCACAAUGGGCGCAAGCCUGAUGCAGCCAUGCCGCGUGUAUGAAGAAGGCCUUCGGGUUGUAAAGUACUUUCAGCGGGGAGGAAGGCGAUAAGGUUAAUAACCUUGUCGAUUGACGUUACCCGCAGAAGAAGCACCGGCUAACUCCGUGCCAGCAGCCGCGGUAAUACGGAGGGUGCAAGCGUUAAUCGGAAUUACUAGGCGUAAAGCGCACGCAGGCGGUCUGUCAAGUCGGAUGUGAAAUCCCCGGGCUCAACCUGGGAACUGCAUUCGAAACUGGCAGGCUAGAGUCUUGUAGAGGGGGGUAGAAUUCCAGGUGUAGCGGUGAAAUGCGUAGAGAUCUGGAGGAAUACCGGUGGCGAAGGCGGCCCCCUGGACAAAGACUGACGCUCAGGUGCGAAAGCGUGGGGAGCAAACAGGAUUAGAUACCCUUGUAGUCC